CGCACCACAGCUCCAGCCGCUCCACUUCCUGUCGAUAUGCAGACUCGUCACCGUCCUUGAUGAGGCAGAUUACAGUGGUGUCAUCUGCAAACUUCAGGAGUUUGACAGUCGGGUUCGCUGAGGUGCAGUCGUUCGUGUAGAGAGAGAAGAGCAGCGGAGAGAGGACACAACCCUGGGGCGCCCCAGUGCUGAUGCUGCGUGUGGAUGAGAUGGUCUCCCCCAGCCUCACCUGCUGUGUCCUGCCCGUCAGAAAGCUGUAAAUCCACUGGCAGAUGGCAGCACUUGUUCGGCCGCGCACCUGUCACCAAUCAGCCCUUGUUACCACCAGCAUUUAAGCCUGCCUGACCCUGGAAAUCUCGCCAGAGUAUUGAAGUUGUCCUGCGGUACAACGGCUCCCCAGUUUACAAGGAAACUACGUAAUUCCUCAUCAUCUUUCUGACCUCCGUGUUUCUCCUCCAUAGCUUUGGACUUCAUUACCGGCCUGCCCCAUUCUCAAGUUCUCCUCCCUUGUCUGGAAGGAGUUCUGUAAAGCGGUGGGCGCAGCAGCCAGCAUGUCUUCCGGGUACCAUCCCACAGACCAACGGCUAGACGGAGUGGGCGAAUCAGUCCCUGGAAUCAGCCAUUCGCUGCAUUGCCGCUCGCAACCCCACCUCCUGGAGUUCAUUCCUCCCAUGGAUUGAGUACACCCACAACUCCCUCACCAGCUCCGCCACCGGUAUAUCUCCGUUCAUGGCCUGCUACGGUUUCCAACCUCUGUUAUUUAAGGAACAGGAGCAUGCGUUGGCGGUUCCCACGGUGAGGGAUCACCUGAAAAGUGUCCAGUCUGUGUGGAAGGAUGUCUUGGUCCGAUCCGCGGAGAAGAAUUAACGGCUCACGGACCGUCAUCGUUCCCCUACGCCUGAGUCCAAGGUGGGUCAGACAGUUUAGCUUUCCUCCCGUGACCUCCCGUUACAGACGGAAUCCCGCAAACUCACUCCGCGCUUUAUCCCGCAAACUCACUCCGCGCUUUAUCAGUGCAUUCCUCAUCACUAAAAUAAUCAAUCCCACGUCCGUUGAACUUGAACUACCGCAGUCAAAUUCAUCCAACUUUCCACGUCACUGCUCAAGCCUGUCUCCACUUGUGCCCUGAACCCUACGACGGUAGUUUUUGGCGCACUCGAAGCAAAACGCAGCACGACACGCAUGAACGCAAAAUAUUUUUUAUUUUUCACACCCUCAUCAUGGAAAGUUCAAGAAGAAAAGCGUAUGAUGCAGCUUUUAAGUUGAAAGCCAUCGAUCUGUCCGUCCAGGAUGGAAAUCGAGCUGCUGCACGUAAGCUUGGCGUUAACGAAUCGAUGGUGAGGCGUUGGAGACGGCAGCGUGAAGAACUGAUGCAAUGCCAAAAGACAACAAAGGCUUUCAGAGGUCAUAAGAGCAGAUGGCCCAAAUGUUCUUGAGGACUGGGUGAUCACAUAGAGAGCAGACGGCCGAGGUGUAUCCACCGUGCAGAUCCAACUGAAAGCUAAAAAGAGAAAAAUCGCCAGAGAAAUGUGUGCUGAAGGUUUUCAAGGUGGACCGUCAUGGUGUUUUCGAUUCAAGAGACGAAAAGGUUUGUCCAUCAGGGGGCGGACGAAUGUCUGUCAGCAACUCCCUCGCGACUACGAGGAAAAAGUUGCAAACUUCCACAAAUUAAUUGCAACAAAAAUAGCCAAAGAUUCCAUCGGACCAGACGACAUCAUAAAUAUGGAUGAAGUGCCUUUGACGUUCGACCUGCCUCUAACUCGAACUGUUAACAAGACAGGAGCGUUAUCCAUUAUAGUGAAAACAACUGGCUACGAGAGAACACACUUCACGAGUGUUUUGAGCUGCACCGGUGCCGGACAAAAGCUUCCACCAAUGGUGAUUUUCAAGCGGACGACUAUGCCAAAAGAAAAAUUCCCAAAAGGCAUAGUUGUUAAAUUUAAUAAAAAAGGGUGGAUGAUAGAAAGCUUAAUGACUGAAUGGCUGACGGAGUGUUACAGUAGACAUGCGGGAGGAUUUUUUUCACCAGAAAAAAGCAUUGCUUGUUUUGGACAGUAUGAGGGCCCAUAUAACAGAUUCUGUGAAAACAGCCAUUAGGAGAUCAAACUCAAUUCCAGCUGUGAUUUCUGGAGGUACAACAAAGUUUUUGCAGCCACUGAACAUCAGUGUGAAUCAUGCUUUUAAAGCGACACUCUGAGGUGGGUGGGAGGCUUGGCUGACCAGCGGCGAGAAAUCUUUCAUAAAAACUGGCCGCAUGCCAAGAUCAUCCUUUUCUGAGGUCUGCCAGUAGAUCUUAAAAGUGUGGAGCAGUGUGAAAGAAUCUACGAUCACCAACGGAUUUCAAAAGGCUGGACUGCUACAUGAGGAGAACAGCACAACUUCAGCGGUAACUGUCUCGAGAUGAAAAUGACAUUGAGAGCGACAGAGAGACUGAAAAAGGUGUGUGACGAAAACGUUCUGAGGCUCUUCAACUCCGACACUGACGACAACGACUUCAGUGGUUUCAGUGAACAGGAGAAGGAUGAAUAAAAACAAUGACUUUUCUGUUAUGUAUGAGCCGUUUUACUGCCGUGUUCCAGGUACUGUUUGGAAACAAGGUAUGUAAAUAAACAUUUACAAAAUC